rnacentral:lncRNA from 1 species
AUGGAAACUACGCCCAGCUCCACAAAUCUGGAGACAAGCACAAAGACAAAUUCAGCAAGGUUCUCUAUCAUGCUGUCACAAACUACAGAGGUUGGAUCUUGGCUUUGACUUACGGGUAUUGCUUCGGAGUUGAACUUGCGAUAGACAACAUAAUCGCGCAGUACUUUUACGAUAGAUUCAACGUGAGCCUUCACACAGCUGGAAUCAUUGCAGCCAGUUUCGGUUUGGCGAAUUUCUUCUCGAGACCUGGAGGAGGUAUGCUGUCAGAUAUUGUUGCAAGGAGGUACGGAAUGAGAGGUAGGCUGUGGGCACUUUGGUCAGUGCAGACUUUGGGAGGAAUAUUCUGUAUUAUUUUGGGGAAAGUCGGAACAUUGGGUGUAUCAGUCGCUGUGAUGCUCAUAUUUUCAGUUUUCGUUCAAGCUGCUUGUGGACUUACUUUCGGGGUUGUUCCUUUCGUUUCUAGAAGGUAUCCAUCUAUCUAUCUACCUAUUCGGUUCACUAAAAUUUUAUCGGAUAAUAAUAUAGACUUAUUUGAUAUGUUGUUGUUAUUACCAGGUCAUUGGGAAUUAUAUCGGGGAUGACAGGAGCUGGUGGAAACGUGGGAGCAGUUAUUACACAAGUAAUAUUCUUCCGAGGAUCGAGAUACACUACAGAAAAAGGUAUAAUGCUAAUGGGGGUGAUGAUUAUAGCAUGCACAUCCGUAAUUACGUUGAUACACUUCCCGCAAUGGGGUGGAAUGUUCACCAAACCAUCAAAGGGCAUAACAGAGGAAGAUUAUUAC